UCCAAUCCGCUCGUGGAAAGACAAGUUGCCUCACGCUGAUGCCGUUCUUUCUCUCGAGAAAUUCUAGACAGCCAAAAUAUUUUGUAAUGCGUUGCAAGUUUGUAGGGAUUUAUUUGAGAGACAGGGGGCCCCUGUUCGCUUUUUCACUCCCCAAAUGCUUGCAACAUCUGGAGAGCCAGAAACUCACACCAGGUCUCCUGCGUGGGUGCCAGGAGCGCAGUUCCUUGUGCUGCCACCCAGGGAUCUGCAUUAGCAGGAAGGUGGAAUCCGGAACUGAAACCAGGAGGCAAACCUAGGUGCUCCCUGAUAGGACGUGGGCAUCUUUACUGCUAGGCUGAACGCCCACUUUCCAAAACAGCUUACAAUAGUCAGGCUGGACACGAAUAGCGUGGUGAAGGCUGCAGAGCAACUCAGUUCGAUGAGCUGAUGCUCUGUUCAAGCCCCCAGCCUCUGACUCCCUCCGCCAGCCAGCCCAUUCCCACCGGCCCUCCUGGGGACCCACCCCUGUCUGCAGUCUGCACAGGCUGCACCUCUCAACACCAUCAUCAGAGUAAAUUUCCACCCUUUCAAAGCCUCACAAUGGGGACUGAACUCCAGCACAUGAACCUUGUGGAGACACACUCAGACCAAAUCCAGGGGCCAGCGAUGUGGCGCACCAGGUUAAGCCCCCACCUGUGAUGCCAGCGUCCCACGUAAGUACCAGUUCAAGUCCCAGCUGGCUGUUCUACUUCUUAUCCAGCUCCCUGCUAACAUGCCUGGAAAAGCAGCAGAAGAUGGUCUGAGUGCUUGGGCCCCUGCUCACAUGUGGGAGACCUGGAUGGAGUUCCAGACCCCUGGCUUUGGCCUGGCCCAGCCUGGGCUGUUGUGGCCAUUUAAGGAGUAAACCAGAAGACAGAUGUCUCUGUCUCUCUCGGUCUCUCUGUCUCUCUCUCUCUGCCUUUCAAAUAAACAAAUAAAUCUUAAAACACACACACAUACAAGCAAAGCCAGGGGAGCCAGCGCUGUGGCAUGCUUGGCUAAGCCUCCACCUACAGCGCUUACACCCCAUACAGGUGUCAGUUCGAGUCCUGGCUGCAUCCUCUUCCAAUCCAACUCUCUGCUUAUGGCCUGGAAAUGCAGUGAAAGAUGGCCCAAAUGCUUGGGCCUUUACACCCAUGUGAGAGAACUGGAAGAAGCUCCAGGCUCCUGCCUUUGGCGUGACAUAGCCCUGGCCAUUGCAGUCAUUUGGUGCAAUGAACCAGACCUUUCUGUCUGUAACUCUGCCUCAGAGAAAGAAAGAAAACCCUACUCAAACCACAGCAGCAAAGGGAGAGUAGAGAGUGAGUAGAGCCAAAGAGAAGCAAGCCCAGAAUGAAGCUAUGGAGAACCUAGACAGGAAAAACCAACAAAGGAACUCCUUAAAGAGAGUCCUAGAGAGUCCUGAAUGGUGAAAAGUAACACCAGGAGACAGUGCAUCCCUGAGGACAAGGGGAGAAACUAUCCCAAGAAAGAGAAAAUAGUCAAGGCCAGUGUUGUGGUGUAGCAGAUAAAGCACCAGCAUGCCCUGUGGGCAGGUUCAAGUCCCAGCUCCCUGCUAAUGAACCUGGGAAAGCAGUGGAGGAUGGUCCAAGUGCUUGGGUCCCUGCACCUGCGUGGGAGACCUGGAAGAAGUUCCUGCUCCUGACUUCCGUCUGACCCAACCCUGGCUGUGGCAGCGAUUUGGGUAGUGAAACAGUAGAUGGAAAGUAUUUAUUGGGGCCAGUGUUGUGACGUAGUGGGUAAAGCUGCUGCCUAAGGAUGGGAGACCUCAGCAUCCCAUAUGGGCGCCGGUUCAAGUCCUGGCUGCUCCACUUCCAAUCCAGAUCUCCGCUAUGGCCUGGGAUAGCAAUAGAAGAUGGCUCAAGUCCUUGGGCCCCUGCACUCACGGGGGAGACACAGUAGAAGCUCCUGGCUCCUGGUUUCGGAUCGGCACAGCUCCGGCUGUUGCAGCCAUCUGGGGAGUGAACCAGCAGAAGGAUGACCUCUCUCUCUCUCUCUCCCUCUCUCUCUCUCUCUCUCUCUCUCCUCUUAUUUAUUUCAAAUAAAUAAACGAAAGCUUGAAAGAGAAAAAGAGUAGUCACGGAACAGAUGCCAUGUGGAGGCCAGCUAAGACCACAGGUGGGGACCACUCUUGACUCGCACGGGAAAUAUGAGGUGAAAAAAAUGGGAUGAUAACUGUGGACAAUUCUUUCAAGACACUGGGCCCACAGAGAAGCAGUUGACGAUAGAGGCUUGAGAUGGUAGAACUGAAGUCAGGUUCCUUGGAAAGCAGCGGGGAGGGUGCAGGUAGAGGAAAGAAUUACCUCUGAAGUGAGGAAGACACCUCCACCCUGUAACAGGAAGCGGGGUGGGGGGGGCAGGCAGUGCAGAGCAGGCUGGUACAGAGAGACCUGUUGGCAGGAAAUUGAUACUGUAUCCACUGGGUGAUUUCUGCUGUCCCUUGGAAGAGUGGAUAAGGAGGAGAGAGUGUAAGGAGGUUAGGAGAGACACAAAGACCAGAGAGAGCUGAUAAGGGGGCAGUCAUGGAGACAAGCCUAAGCACUGGGACUCUGACCAUGGAGGCACGGAACAGCUGCGCUGGGCGGAGCUGAUCCCACGGGAAGGGGGCUGUGCAGACGGCAGCGCCUGAAUGAAGAGGCCUGGAGACAGAGCAGCUCUGGCAAAAGUCAGACUGCGAUCAGCAGAGCAAAUGACUGCAUAGCGGCAGAGAAGCCGCCGUCGGAACCAUGAAGUCACGGAACGGAGGAGUCACGGUUCAGGAUGAAUCAUCAUUCAAUGACACAUCCUGCUGGGAACCUCCAGCACAUCUCCUAACAGGGACCUCUCCUGUGGCUUCAGGUCCUUGACCUCCUGGGUCUCUCCCAUCUCACACCUCACCACUGAGCUCAGUCUCUUUCCUACUUAGCAGAAGGAUGGAAAAUCAAAAUCACCAACAGCAAAUGUUCGAAGGCAACUCUCUUCGUGGAAAUAGAAGUCCCGAGGAAAACAGCUGUGCAGUAUCUAACCUCUUCCUCUGAUGAACGGGGCGAGAUUACGACCAGUGAUUUUCCCAACCCUCAUGUCAGCUGAGGCAUCACACGUCGAGGAUCCUGUGCCAUCCUCUAGGGAGGGGACAGAGGCAAAGACGGCCUAAAUCCGUCUGCCCAGUGUGGACUGAAGAUCAGCCCACGGCUGUUUGUUAGCAGUCUGUAGCAAGAUAAGUGCAAGAAGCAAGAGUGUUUAGAGGGGUGAGCAGUGUGGCACAGCGGGUUAAGCUGCCACUUAGGAUGCCCUCAUCCCACAUAGGAGUACCUGAAAUGGAGUCCCGCCUCUGUUCCCAGUCCACAUUCCUGCUAAUGCCACCCUGGGAAGUGCAGGUGGCGGCUCAAGUUACUGACUCCUUGCUACCUCAUGGAAGGCCCGGAUGCAGCUACUGGCUCCAGCCCUGGUUGCUAUGGGCAUUUGGGGAGUGAGCCAACAGAUGGAAGGUCUCUCUCCAUCAUUCUCUCCCUCUUUCCCUCUCUCUCUCUCUUUCUCUCUUUCUCCCACUCUGCCUUCCAAAUAAACAACAAAAAAUUUUUUUUGAAAAAAGUUUUUAGAGGACCUUACAGUAACUUGACAGAAUAUUUUUGUAAUUGAUAGACCAAUUUAAAAUGGAGAUUAUAUUUCAUAUAUCUUUAUUAUAUUUUCACUCAUUUUCCUAGUAAUUCUCUUUACUAUUUUAUAAAAAUGAUGACCCAUCACAGAUUGAAAUUUUUAAAAAAAAUCUGGUUCUUUGGGCUGAUGCUGUGGCUUAGUAGGUUAAGCCUCUGCCUAUGGCAUCCAAUAUGGGCAAUGGUUUGAGUCCUGGCUGCUCCAUUUACUAUUCAGUUCCUGGCUAAUGCACCUGGGAAAGCAGGGGAAGAUGGCCCAAGUGCUUGGGUCCCUGCACCCAUGAGGGAGAUCUAGAAGAAGCUCCUGGAUCCUGGCUUUGGAUCAGCCCAGCUAUGGCCCUUGCAGCCACUUGGGGAGUGAACCAGUGGAUGGAAGGCCGCUCUCUCCCUCUCUCUCCUUGUUAACUCUGCCUCUCAAAUAAACAAACCCUUUUAAAAAAUCUGGUGCCUAGUCAAAGAUAUUUGAGAAGGGCAAACCUAGGUAGGACUGCCUGAUUUGUUCCUAGCCUCACAGAAGCUCUUAGGCUGCAGGAAAGAGCUAGUGAGACACA